AUACGUAGGGUGCAAGCGUUAAUCGGAAUUACUGGGCGUAAAGCGUGCGCAGGCGGUUUUGUAAGACAGUGGUGAAAUCCCCGGGCUCAAACUGGGAACUGCCAUUGUGACUGCAAGGCUGGAGUGCGGCAGAGGGGGAUGGAAUUCAGCGUGUAGCAGAGAAAUGCGUAUAUAUGCGGAGGAACACCGAUGGCGAAGGCAAUCCCCUGUGCCUGCACUGACGCUCAGGCACGAAAGCGUGGGGAGCAAACAGGAUUAGAUACCCUGGUAGUCCACGCCCUAAACGAUGUCAACUGGUUGUUGGGGAUUUAUUUUCUCAGUAACGAAGCUAACGCGUGAAGUUGACCGCCUGGGGAGUACGGCCGCAAGGUUAAAACUCAAAGGAAUUGACGGGG
rnacentral:rRNA from 1 species